rnacentral:lncRNA from 1 species
AUCUAAUGACUAUUACUCCCUAUAUUGUAUGCUUAUUGUUUUGGGCGUAUUAGGAAACUAAGAGCUAAAAGACCUUACAGACCUCGGCAGAAAGGAAAGGGACAAGAAGAAUGGCUCCUGCAAACUGAGGUAACUUCUUUUAUCUGUCAUACAUUGUGUUAUACUACAUUCUUUUAUGAAAAGAAAGUUUUUCAGUUUCUCAUAAUCAGCUGGAUU